rnacentral:lncRNA from 1 species
AGGCUCGGCGUUGGCCUCCGCGGCCCGUGCGAGUGCGCCCUUCUCGGGUCCCCUAGGUCGCGGGGCAGCCGGGGCGGAAGGGGCUUGUUCAUUAUUUUGAGAGUUUGUUGUGAACGUCAUAACCUUUCGUCCUUAAAUAUUGCCGAUACUUGACCUACGCAAGAGACAAUGUCAUGUGAUUCAGCCUAAUAUCUCAUUUGUAGCAGCAAUGGUGUGCCCGUGCAGGAGGGGACCCCUUAACUACAGUACUUGACAUGACCUGGGUAAAGGGCAUAUUCAGCAGGAGGAUGCAGCAUUCAAGGUUCUAUCUUGGAAGCAGAGACUGUGCCCUCACCAGAUGCUGAACCUGCUGAGCACCCUGAUCUUCCACUUCACCUUCAUCAGAACUACUGGGGCUGUGGCUGAGAUGUCACAUGGCAGAUAGGAUCACAAAUUUCUGUUGUAUCUGGAUGGAGAUCAGCAGGAGGAUCUAUGGGUGAGAAGAAGCACAGUUACAGAUGGAUUCUAGAGCCUGCUUGCUGACACAGGCUUGCAACUGCGGACUUUAUAAGCUUAGUUUUUAAUCUGCUAUCAGCUAGCAUAAUACCAUAAAUGCAUAAGAAACUAAGUAUUCAGUCUUACGAGAAAUGCUAUCUUGACCUGACCCUUUCUCCAAAUAAAUUGACAAAAUAUCUCAUCGUCUAGGAUGCCAGACAGAAAUACCAGUUGCAAUGUUUUGUUGCAUAAAGUUUAUCCUAAUUUAAAUUAGUGGCAUAUAAAGUCAUCAUCUUGCUUGAACAAACAUCUUAUUAAAUUGAGCAUGUCUUUUAUCCCAUGAAAUGAAAUUAAUUUUGAGAUAGUUAUUUUUCAGUUGGAAAUUUAUUGAGUUGAUAGAAAACAAGUUAUAUAGUCUUCCAAAGAAUAUGUUACAUCCAUUUGCAUUUUGUUUUUCUUCAGCAAUGUUUGGUUUUUAGAAAAUCUUACAAGUUAAAUAUACUAAUGUAGAAAUUGAAAGAAAAUAAUCAGAGAUAGAGCAAUAAAUUUGCAAAUAAAGAUUAUUCUUAAAACAAA